rnacentral:rRNA from 1 species
AACGAACGCUGGCGGCAGGCUUAACACGUGCAAGUCGAGCGCCCCGCAAGGGGAGCGGCAGACGGGUGAGUAACGCGUGGGAACGUACCCUUUACUACGGAACAACUCAGGGAAACUUGUGCUAAUACCGUAUGUGCCCUUCGGGGGAAAGAUUUAUCGGUAAAGGAUCGGCCCGCGUUGGAUUAGCUAGUUGGUGGGGUAAAGGCCCACCAAGGCUACGAUCCAUAGCUGGUCUGAGAGGAUGAUCAGCCACACUGGGACUGAGACACGGCCCAGACUCCUACGGGAGGCAGCAGUGGGGAAUCUUGCGCAAUGGGCGAAGGCCUGACGCAGCCAUGCCGCGUGAAUGAUGAAGGUCUUAGGAUUGUAAAAUUCUUUCACCGGGGACGAUAAUGACGGUACCCGGAGAAGAAGCCCCGGCUAACUUCGUGCCAGCCGCCGCGGUAAAAC